UUAAAUUGAAGAGUUUGAUCAUGGCUCAGAUUGAACGCUGGCGGCAGGCCUAACACAUGCAAGUCGAACGGUAACAGGAAACAGCUUGCUGUUUCGCUGACGAGUGGCGGACGGGUGAGUAAUGUCUGGGAAACUGCCUGAUGGAGGGGGAUAACUACUGGAAACGGUAGCUAAUACCGCAUAACGUCGCAAGACCAAAGAGGGGGACCUUCGGGCCUCUUGCCAUCGGAUGUGCCCAGAUGGGAUUAGCUAGUAGGUGGGGUAACGGCUCACCUAGGCGACGAUCCCUAGCUGGUCUGAGAGGAUGACCAGCCACACUGGAACUGAGACACGGUCCAGACUCCUACGGGAGGCAGCAGUGGGGAAUAUUGCACAAUGGGCGCAAGCCUGAUGCAGCCAUGCCGCGUGUAUGAAGAAGGCCUUAGGGUUGUAAAGUACUUUCAGCGGGGAGGAAGGGAGUAAAGUUAAUACCUUUGCUCAUUGACGUUACCCGCAGAAGAAGCACCGGCUAACUCCGUGCCAGCAGCCGCGGUAAUACGGAGGGUGCAAGCGUUAAUCGGAAUUACUGGGCGUAAAGCGCACGCAGGCGGUUUGUUAAGUCAGAUGUGAAAUCCCCGGGCUCAACCUGGGAACUGCAUCUGAUACUGGCAAGCUUGAGUCUCGUAGAGGGGGGUAGAAUUCCAGGUGUAGCGGUGAAAUGCGUAGAGAUCUGGAGGAAUACCGGUGGCGAAGGCGGCCCCCUGGACGAAGACUGACGCUCAGGUGCGAAAGCGUGGGGAGCAAACAGGAUUAGAUACCCUGGUAGUCCACGCCGUAAACGAUGUCGACUUGGAGGUUGUGCCCUUGAGGCGUGGCUUCCGGAGCUAACGCGUUAAGUCGACCGCCUGGGGAGUACGGCCGCAAGGUUAAAACUCAAAUGAAUUGACGGGGGCCCGCACAAGCGGUGGAGCAUGUGGUUUAAUUCGAUGCAACGCGAAGAACCUUACCUGGUCUUGACAUCCACGGAAGUUUUCAGAGAUGAGAAUGUGCCUUCGGGAACCGUGAGACAGGUGCUGCAUGGCUGUCGUCAGCUCGUGUUGUGAAAUGUUGGGUUAAGUCCCGCAACGAGCGCAACCCUUAUCCUUUGUUGCCAGCGGUCCGGCCGGGAACUCAAAGGAGACUGCCAGUGAUAAACUGGAGGAAGGUGGGGAUGACGUCAAGUCAUCAUGGCCCUUACGACCAGGGCUACACACGUGCUACAAUGGCGCAUACAAAGAGAAGCGACCUCGCGAGAGCAAGCGGACCUCAUAAAGUGCGUCGUAGUCCGGAUUGGAGUCUGCAACUCGACUCCAUGAAGUCGGAAUCGCUAGUAAUCGUGGAUCAGAAUGCCACGGUGAAUACGUUCCCGGGCCUUGUACACACCGCCCGUCACACCAUGGGAGUGGGUUGCAAAAGAAGUAGGUAGCUUAACCUUCGGGAGGGCGCUUACCACUUUGUGAUUCAUGACUGGGGUGAAGUCGUAACAAGGUAACCGUAGGGGAACCUGCGGUUGGAUCACCUCCUUACCUUAAAGAAGC
rnacentral:rRNA from 1 species